GCUAGGGUCCCCGCGGCUUCCAGGCUGCGCCCACGCGUGCGCGGGGCCGUCACCCCUGUCGCGUGCUCUCCGGCCGGAGCGUGGGGGUCUCUUAGGGAGACGGCUGCUCUGGGGUAGUCACCAGGCUCCGGGGAGGCUGGAUGGCGUCUGCCCCCAGGAGCCUCCUGGCCGCGCGCGCGCGUCAGCCCCCUCGGCGGUGCUGCGCGCCGAUGAGUGUGGCCACGCGAGAAGGACGCGGUGUUGGAGCUGGCCGGAGUCGGGCAAUGGCCUUGGGCGAGGGGAGGAGACAUUCCGGGCAGUGAAUAGAACACUCGGUCAUCCUUCCGAAAGGACCAGCAGGGAAAGACGUGUGAUCAGUCGGCCCAUCCCUGCCUUGAUGGACUCUAUCCCUCCAGAAAUAUAAGCCAUGUGAAAUCCUUCCAAAACCUGCUUUUUUGUCCGGGUACUCUAUCCCAACAAUCUAAAAUAAUUAACACACAUGUGCAUUACAGGAAACAAACCCCACAAAGUGCAAAGAAGCCACCGUCAAAAUUAAUUCAGCUGGUCGUGUACUUCUGGUUCCUAUGUGUGAAUACAUAGCACUCACUGCGCUUUAGACACUGAUUUAUGGCAUGUUCAUCAGAAUUGCAACAUUUCCUCCAAAUUGAAUCAUCUGCUGCAGGAAAGAGGGGAAGUUCUCAGGAGCCUCAGGUGAUAAACAGAUAGCAAACAAAAGAUCAUGUAUUCAGGAAGAGCAGCAGCUUGGAAGUUCUUGAAGGCCCCUACCUACAAAGUGAACUGGAGUAAACAGUUUCUAGUGGGCUGUGGAGCUGCCUGCAAUCUGCUGUAUAAAGAGCUGUUUUGGGGAGUCCUCACCCAUGUUGUGGUGGACUUUUUGGUGAUACAGCUACCUUUGAGUUAUCCCUGCUCCUUGGAAGUAACCCUUCAGCCAUACUCCCUGUUACUAACCCCAAUGAAAAUCCCAUUGGUUGACCAAAUCAGACACUGGUGCCAUCAUUACUCAGGUCUGGCAAAUGUGUGUGCUGCACCUCCUCCAAAAAGGUCUAUCACACAAUAGAUGCCUACGCUUUCAUGAAUGUGUAUGCAUAGCCUCUGACAUUCCUUAAUAUCUGAAUUUGAUGAUUAAUGUCUUUGUUCCUGUUUUAUUUCCAACUUCUUGUGGUGCUCAUUUAAAGGUCCACGUUCGACGCAUUAAAGCCCCCUUAUUCUUUACCUGAUGAUCCCAGUUCAUCGUUGAGAAAUUCAUACUUUAGUUUGCAAGUUGGAAGGAAUAAGAAGACAAUGAUGAUUCAGUGCCGCCAUUUAUCCUUAGCAGAUGCCUUUGGGAACAGGGAUUGAUCAAGUGUCGCUAGGAACGGAGGAGGACCUCUUAUCCCAUGUAACAAACCAUACAUGGUUUCCUAAGAAAAUAUUCAGUAGGCCACACAUUGAGACAAGAGUAUUCCCUGAGGAGUGUGUUACCCCGACAGUCGAUAGCAAGCCAUCUUCUCUUUCCUACAAGACUGACUGACUGGCUAGAUCUUUUGAUUAUGAUGAGCUGGGAUAUUCCAAGUCCUGAGCUGAUUUAUCUAGAGAUAUUUGUCCUCCCCAACAGUUGCCUGGGCUGGAGACUUGGAGCUGUGAACGGAAGGGAAGACCUUCUGCACGAUGUGGAAAGUAGCUCCUUAGUUUGUCUACCAAUGAGCGUCAGCAGGUCACAGUCCAGGCAGCCUUCAGGUCACACUAGGAUGAUGCUCUAGCCAGAGGCCCUCAGCUGCUUCUGAAUCACUCAUCCAGCUGCCACGGCUACAAGCACUGGAGGAAAACGUGGCCAUGAGAAACAUAAAGUACAAAACCGUAUACGAAUGCCAGUGGCGUGCCAGAGCAAAGAGUUUGCCAAAUGCAUUAAUUACUUUUCUAUUGCUAUGAUAAAGUGUCCUUUCCAAAAGCGCCCUAGAGGAGAAAGGUGUUAAUUCUGUCUUACUGUUCUCAAGGAAUAGAAUCCAAGAUGGCAGAGGAGGCACAGCAGCAGGCGUGCGAGGCCAGCAUAACUCAGGAGGCAGAAAUUUCAGAAAACUUUUACUCACAGCAAUGUGACAGGUGCAGGGAGAUAAACAGGAGUGUAUGGGGCUAUGAAUUUUCAAAGCUUGUCCCCAGUGACAUUCUUCUUUAGCAAGUAUCCUAAAGUUUCCAUGACUUUCCCAAACAGUGCCUGUGACUGGAGGCCUGGUGUUCGAAUGCAUGAGCUUAUAUGAGACAUUUCUCCUUCAAGCCGUCCCAGAAAAAAAAAAGACAAAGAGUUAAUUCAUUGAAGUUUACUUCAAGAGGGGACUUUGAACUGAAGUCUUGACUUUCUAAAAGGCCCUCACCCGUGUUAAAGAUUCUACAAGGCUGACAAAUGAUAGAGAGCUGGAAUAUUCCACGUCCUGAGCAAAAUUAUCUCAAGUUAUCUUUAUCUUCCUCAACAGCCAUUCAUUGUCUGUCUCUGUGUUUGACCUGACAGCCUCGUGACUGUCAGGUGAAUUCCUUUUGCAAGUACUAACAAACGCUAGCUUCUACCAACCCAAAGGCUAAAAAUGCCAGUAGAUAGCAUCUGAAGCCUGCAGCAAGAUUUCCCCACUUUUCUGUAACCCAGGAACCCCAUGUUCCUACCAGUGAAUUUUAAAAGUACUUGGCUUUUGACUUUCUUACUAGAAAACUUGGGAAAUUGUUACCAUGUUGGAACAUACUACUUGGGGUGGCCUGAAUCCAUGGUCCUAAGGUCUGGUCACUUGUAUUUGGCUCGAGAAUAUAUUACUUUAUUCCCUAAAGAAAAGUUUCAAGCAUGGUGACUUACAUUUGUAAUCUCAGUGUUGGAAACGAGGAGAUAUGGGAUCCCUAGGGCUCCCCGGAUAGCCAGCCUAGCCUAACCAUGUGCUCUAGGCUGAUGACAGCCUCGGUUUCAAAACAGGUAGAUGGCAUCCUGAAGAUUGCAAGUACAUUUGUCCUCUCGUCUCCACAUACAUACUUUACACAUGUGCAUGAACACACACAUCCACAAGUAACAACACUUCAGUGCCCUAUCUUCAGAGAAGAGGACAGUAAUAGAGUGUUUACUGCUCUAGAGGCAGCGGGGCUUGACAGAAUGCAGUUGAUAAAUGAGGUAGACGAAGGUCACAUGCAAGAGUUCCCUUCUUCAGAGCAUCAGAGGAGUUAUACUCCAAGGGUUAAAAGGGUCAGUUGAGUAAAGUGUCCAAUCACAGGGAUACGCUGCAUGUGCUGGGCACACGGCAUGUGGCAGAAACACGUUUUCCCAUAGAGGCAUAUGGACAAAUAACAAUAGCCAGUUGUAAUGAAUAACCUAAAGUAAACUCACUCCUGUCUGCUGCAGCUGGGAGAGGCACGAAAGCACCAUUCAAGACCAAUUCUGUGUUUUGGAAGAAGCUGAGGUCACAAGACUCUUGUCUUGGUUUCUUUGAGUUUUUCGCACGCACUAAGAAAUUUCCUCGCAAGACUUUAUUCUUGGACUGUGUUCCAACAGUAGAGGAGAAGCUAAGUGCGGAUCAAAACGAGCGGAAGGUACUGACUGCUUUCUCUUGGCCUCUACUGAUUGACCUACAAGAACAGAGAGCAUCCUGGGGUUUCUAUUUCUGUGAAGAGACACCACGUCCGUGGGAACCUUUUUUUUUUUUGAAAGAAUGGAACAAACUGACUUUAUUCACAGAUAUGUGAUUAUGUUGACAGUUUUGUUUGAUUGGUUGGGAUUUGCUUUUGCUUUUUUAAACUUUUUGAUUCUUUGUGGAUUUCGCAUUAUGCAUCUUGAUCCCACUGAUCUCCCUGUCCCUUUGUAACCACCUUCUGCCCUGGCAAC